UACGUAGGGCGCAAGCGUUGUCCGGAAUUAUUGGGCGUAAAGAGCUCGUAGGCGGCUUGUCACGUCGGGUGUGAAAGCCCGGGGCUUAACCCCGGUCUGCAUUCGAUACGGGCUAGCUAGAGUGUGGUAGGGGAGAUUGGAAUUCCUGGUGUAGCGGUGAAAUGCGCAGAUAUCAGGAGGAACACCAACAGCGAAGGCAGACUCUGGGCCGUAACUGACGCUGAGGAGCGAAAGCAUGGGGAGCAAACAGG
rnacentral:rRNA from 1 species